UUCUUUUUUUGGUUUAACGUAAGAUAUCCUUGCUAUUGUGAUUAAUGGCGGCCCUUCAACAUAUGCUGCAAAUGGAAGAAGAAUUCAAGAAUUUAUCGUUAUGGAUAAGCAGAAAAAAACAACAAAAUUCACACUCUGGGAAGAUUUCAUUGAUCUUUAUGGGAAUAAACUUUUGAAACAACUGAAUGAAUACCCGGUUAUUCUUGCUAGAAAAAUUAGCAGAUCAUCAUCAGGAUCGUCGAACAAAUUCAGUAGACUGUCGAACAAAUUUAGUACAACAAUCCAAUUCAAUCCUCCUUACCCACAAGCUGUUGAGUUGAAG